UUUAAAGGACAGUUUUUCCCCCCUCCCUUUGUUGAAUGAGAAGGACACAGCCGGAUCAACAUGAGCACCAGCACAGUUCCUUUUCAACAAAAUCCGUACAACUCUGGAGGCCGCCCCACCGUCAUCCAGUGCUAUCGCUGUGGAGAUACCUGUAAAGGGGAGGUAGUGCGCGUUCAGAGCAAUCACUUCCACAUCAGAUGCUUCACCUGUCAAGUGUGUGGCUGUGACCUGGCUCAGUCUGGUUUCUUCUUUAAAAAUGGAGAAUACAUCUGCACCCAUGACUAUCAACAGCUCUACGGCACCCGCUGUGACAGCUGCCAGGACUUCAUCACUGGAGAGGUUAUUUCAGCCUUGGGCAGGACUUAUCACCCCAAAUGCUUUGUGUGCACCAUGUGCAGAAAGCCUUUCCCCAUCGGAGACAAAGUAACUUUCAGUGGCAAGGACUGUGUUUGCCAAACCUGUUCCCAUUCUCUGAUCAGCAACAAACCCAUCAAGAUACAUGGACCAAGUCAAUGUGCAGGUUGCAAGGAGGAAAUCAAGCAAGGCCAGUCGCUCCUUGCCCUAGAGAAACAGUGGCAUGUCAGCUGCUUCAAGUGCCAAACCUGUGGAAUCAUCCUGACCGGAGAAUACAUUAGCAAGGAUGGCAUUCCAUACUGUGAAUCUGACUACCACGCCCAGUUUGGCAUUAAAUGUGAAACCUGCAACCGGUACAUCAGCGGCAGGGUCCUGGAGGCAGGAGGAAAGCAUUAUCACCCUACUUGUGCCAGAUGUGUGCGUUGCCACCAGAUGUUCACAGAAGGUGAAGAGAUGUAUCUUACAGGCUCAGAAGUGUGGCACCCCAUCUGCAAACAAGCAGCAAGAGCAGAAAAGAAGUUAAAGCACAGAAGAACUUCAGAAACAUCCAUCUCCCCACCUGGUUCCAGCAUUGGUUCCCCCAAUCGUGUCAUCUGUGCUAAAGUGGAUAAUGAGAUCCUUAAUUACAAAGACCUGGCUGCUCUUCCCAAGAUUAAAGCCAUCUACGAGGUGCAACGCCCUGACCUCAUUUCCUAUGAGCCCUAUCACAGAUACACGUCGGACGAGACGCUGGAGAGAUAUAGCUAUGGGGAGUCUCUUGGAACUUUGUCUCCGUAUUCUCAGGAUAUUUAUGAAAGCAUGGAUAUCAGGCAGAGGCGAGCUUCCAGCCCAGGCUACAUUGAUUCCCCCACCUACAGCCGCCAAGGCAUGUCACCCACCAUCCCACGUUCGCCACAUCAUUAUUACCGCUCAGGAACAGAGAGUGGACGCAGCUCCCCCUACUAUAGCCAGUUAGAUGUGAGGUCUUCCACACCAACCUCAUACCAGACUCCUAGGCAUUUCCACAUUCCAGCUGCCGCAGAGAGUAACAUCUACCGGAAACCCCCCAUCUAUAAAAGACACGAUAAUCAAUCUGCAGCUACAAAAAGUAAAACCAGUGAGGAUAUUGCCCAGUCCUCCAAAUACAGCCCAGCCUAUUCUCCAGAUCCAUAUUACCAUUCAGAGACUGAGUACUGGACUUUCCAAGGGUCACCCAAAGCACCGCGAGUUCGAAGAUUCUCCUCAGGAGGAGAAGAAGAUGGGUUUGAUCGAGGGAUGCACAAACUCCAGACUGGCAUUGGCAGGUUGAUACUGAAGGAAGAAAUGAAGGCACGCUCCAACUCCUAUGCAGAUCCCUGGACACCACCCCGCAGCUCCACCGGCAGUAGAGAAGCUCUUCACACGACUGGUUAUGAGGGCUCGCUAAAUGGCUCUCCCCGAAUGCAUUACCUGGCUGACAGCGAUCCUCUCAUUUCAAAAUCUGCCUCUCUCCCUGCUUACAGAAGAAACGGGCUGCACCGGCCACCAAGUGCCGAACUCUUCCACUAUGAUAGCACAAACGCCGUCAACUGGGGGAUGCGAGGUUAGUGGACGAACCCUUAUGAGCUGCUUCUGGUGACAACAAGGGGGAGGAGCCGCUUACCCAAAGAUGUGGACCGAACUCGGUUAGAGCGCCACCUGUCGCCAGAGGAAUUUUACCAGGUGUUUGGCAUGACCAUUUCUGAGUUUGAUCGCCUGGCUUUGUGGAAGAGGAAUGAGCUGAAGAAGCAGGCGCGGCUGUUUUGAAAGCACUGCAUUAUAAAUAUAUAC